CUUUAGUGUGUAGGCGGCUUAUCUCAGGUCGUAGUCAUUUAAAGCUGUGUAACCGUAGAAAAUGCCAAGAUGGCGUUGUGGGCAACUUGCCCCAAGGAUGACAAGUUCGGUGAAAUUUUAAUCGCCUACAGAGUUUAAAAUACGGUUUUAACCAUGUAUAUAUUAAAAAACAGUAUUCUGCUACUAUACACGAUCUAUUUUUCUGUAAGCAAUGAAAAUUAAUUUUUUUUUUGUUUUUUCUACGUUGUCAACUUUUAAAGGUUAUAUAUUGCAUUGAUCUCUCGUUCAAAAUGCUGUAUAUAUUCAUUCAUCCUGUGUCGUUUUAUUAAAGUUUUGUGAACUUUAUGUGUGUUUAACUAAUUGUCUGAUCGCCAGCUUCGACAUAAUUUUUUUUUUUAUAUUAUUUUGAAGGUUAUAGUCUCGUUUAAUUCCACUUUAAAUUUGUGAACUGUACAUGGGUUCCUGUUGUCUUUGAUCCCGGUUUUUACUUACCAUGAUGAGCAUAUUGUAUGAAAAACGGCCUUUAAAAAGGCCAAGAUUAGGCCCUCCCGACGUAUAUCCACAAGAGCCUAAGCAAAAGGAGGAUGAGCUUACACUAGUGAACGUUAAACAUGGUUUUGCUACAAUGCCUCAAUUAUCCGAUGAAUUUGGAUCAGCCAAGCAAUGUAAUGUCACUGCUGCAAAAGUUGGUGCAUAUUUCAACGGUAUACUUGCUAAGAAAGAAGAAUUUGCCACGAUGCCUGAUACGGGAAGAAAGAGACAGCAGAUUAAUCCUAAGGAUAAUUUUUGGCCUGUAACUGCCAGAACUAAAAAUGGGAUUGAAGCUUGGUUCAAAGAUCUGUCUGGCUGUAAGCCUUUGCUGGCCUUGGCCAAGAAAGCCCCUAAUUUUAACAAGAAAGAAGAAAUUUUUAUGAUGUUAUGUGAAUAUCAAGUACCGAUGCUGAGAGCCGCUUGGUUUAUUAAAUUAAGUUCUGCUUAUACCGUUGCUGUUUCUGAAGCAAAAAUUAAGAAAAGACAAUUACCUGAUCCAACAACUGAAUGGACUGGUACCUUAAUAAAAUUUCUAAAAGAUCAGCUGACCAAAUUACAAGAAUAUUAUCACAUGAAUCACAAUAUCUCUAAUGGCAUGAGCAACAGUACCAAUGGUAGUAAUCUGAAUAAUAACAGCACCAAUAAUACUGUGAAUAAUCAACCAACUACACCAAACCCAAAUCCUGGGACAACUGUGGGUCCAGCUAUGAACGAAGAUCAUAAAUUAGCACUUAAACAGUGGCAUUACUGUAUUCAAUUAGCCAAAUACAUGUUUGAGGAAGGAUUGCUCGAUAGGCAAGAACUGUUACAAUGGAUCUUAGAACUUCUCGAUAAAAUGAGAUCUGCUCCGUUGGAUGAUGGGAUUUUGAAGCUCUUAUUACCAUUGGCUUUGCAAUAUCUAGAAGAGUUUGUUCAGUCGGAGUUGUUAGCUAGAAAAUUGGCAUACUUAUGCUGUCGUAAAAUCGCACAGAUGUGCAGCAAUGUAGAAAACAGCAAUAAUCCUCAAAGUCCUAUGGUCACUGCCUCUGUAAAAUCAGAAGUGAGUAAUAUAAAAGAGAAUCCCAUUGCUCCAAUGCCGGUUAAUCCAUUUACCGUGACUUUCAACGACUAUAUUAACUGUCCACAUCACAGAGACAUAAUCUUGGGAUUAUCGGCUAUAAUUCAGGUAAUUACAAUCGAGUGUCCGACCGCCUUAGUUUGGAAUAGUGUCGGAGAAGGUAAAGCACCAUCAGUUUUAAAUGGGUCUCCAUUAGAUCAUCUGCCUAGUCCUCCAUCAGCUUUACCAUGCCCCCCUGCCAGUUCGAUAAAUCCGACGAUGAAACAGAUCAAGGUUGCUCAAGAAAGUAUUCGCAGACGAUCAUUAGCUGCUGAAGGCCGAUGGUCGUGUGACAAAUGGCAGCAGAGUAGUGCCGGUAUGACAACGACUAAGGUUUUAGCUGCUCUGGAUGCUUUAGAUCGUCAUAGUUUUGACAGAAUGGAUGCCUUAAACUCUCUGGAUACACUGUAUGCUAAAAUAUUCACUGCUACACCUAAGGAAAAUACAAAUGAGAGAGACACGAAAGUUGAAUAUUCUCCGCAGCAAGAUGCCGCUAUUAUAGAAAUUUUAUGUGAAUGGGCGGUAAGUUCGGAACGAUGGGGCGAGCAUAGAGCAAUGGCUGUGGCUAAGUUGUUGGAAAAACGUCAGAGUGAAGCUACUGGAGAAACUAAUGAUAAUGAUGACAAAGACAGUGUUUGUAGUAAUGCUUCACCACCAGGGUUGCCAAUUUUUCAACCGCUACUCAUGAAAUUUCUAGAUACCGAUGCUCCGAUUUUAGACCAUAGUUCUUCCCAGUCCAAAGCACAGUUCACCAAUUUGGUUCACUUAUUUUCCGAGCUUAUUCGUCACGACGUCUUUUCGCAUGACGCAUAUAUGUGUACUUUGAUAUCUCGAGGGGAUCUGAUCCAAGGACCAGCUGCUAGUAAACCAAGUACACCGAACAAUCGUGAACCAAUAGACGAAGACAGCUUAUUUCCUGGAAUUGAUUUGAAACCAGCUAAAUUGGAAGUGCCGGAUCACGGAAGAACAAUGGAUUAUGAUGAUAGUAAAAUUGAUGAUGAUUUAGAUAAGUUGCUACAACAUAUUAAAGAAGAUCAACAGAAUAGCAUGGAUGCUCCAGACAGUCCAAAGGAAGAUGCCUUGGGUGGCCAUAACGCACAUGAUGGGCUAGAUUCUAAAAGUCCAAAUCCAUGUAGACAUUUACUUUAUACUACACAUUUUCCAUUGCCACAGGAUGAAACCUGCAGUCAACAUGACUGCAAUCAACGCCACGUUCUGUUAUAUGGUGUAGGACGAGUACGAGACGAAGCAAGACAUGUCGUUAGAAAAAUGACAAAAGAAAUUUGCAAAUUAUUUGGAAAAAAAUUUAGCAUCGAUGUUGCAGAAGGUGGCAAAGUAAAAAAACACUCACGGAGUGAAUUCAAUUUUGAAGCUGUUACUCAAAAGUUUCAAAACUUGAGUUAUUUUGACCAACACGUCGUCACGUGGCAAUGUGCUACACAAGUCAUUGAAAUGCUAAACACAUUUGCAUUAGCCGGAUCAUCUUACUUACCUGUUCAGGAACAUGUCGCAUUCUUAUUUGACCUAAUGGAACUUGCGCUGAACAUAUACGGACUUAUUGAUGUUUGUAUUCAGAUAUUGAAAGAACUGCCAGAGAUUGAAGCACAAUUGACAGUCAGAAAUAGUCAGCUCGUCAGAAGUUACACCACGAGCUUGAGUUUAUAUGUUGUCGGAGUGCUAAGGCGAUAUCAUUGUUGUUUAUUACUUGCUCCAGAACAAACAACAGCAGUGUUUGAUCUCCUCUGCAAAGUUGUCAAGCAUGUUUCGAAUCCAAGUGACUGUAGCUCUGCUGAACGUUGCGUUUUGGCACAUCUGUACGAUUUGUACUCAAGUUGUUCAUUAUUGAAGACAAAACCCCACGGUGUGGAAGCUUUCAGUAAUGCAUACCCUAAAAUUCGAACAGCUUUGUACAGCGCAUUACAACCAACUCCAUCGAACCACGUUUACAAUUCUCAAUUCAUGAUUGAUGUCUUUAGUAGUCCAAGACGUAGUGGAAAAAUUGAGCCUCAAUGGGCCAGACAGCUGAACGAAACUCCGGCGAAUCGUUAUAGCUUUGUAUGCAAUGCAAUUAUUGUUGCUGUGAGCAGUGAGACAGAUAAUGAUAAAUUAAAUGACGUUGCGAUAAUUUGCGCAGAGCUUACAGCCUGCUGUAAUGCUCUGAGUGCCGAGUGGUUGGGUGUCUUAAUGGCAUUAUGUUGUUCAUCCAACAGUUCAUCAUUUUAUAUCGAUGUUUUAAAUCAAGUUGAUGUUCAAAAUUUGAAUGUCCGUAAUUCUUUGGCCGUGUUUACAUCGAUUUUGAUUGCCAGACACUGCUUCUCCUUGGAAGAUUUUGUAGUGCACAUAGCAUUGCCGUCUCUUGUAAAGGCUUGUAAUGAAGGCCGCGGUGAUGCGGAUAUGGAAGCUGAAGCAGGUGCUCUGUUAACUUGCCACUUACUUCUACAACUAUUCAAAACAGUCGAGUGCCCCCAACCGGCUUUAUAUUCAGUUAGCACCAGUCCGCAUCCGCUGCCCAGUGGGAAUUUGAGACGUUACAGUAUAAAACUUAGCUGUGACAGACACCUGCUAGCCGCUGCCCACAAUAAUAUCAGAGUCGGACCUGUAUUAGCAGUUUUAAAAGCGAUUCUGGUUGUUGGUGAUGCUACAGCAGGUAAACUGCCGCCUAAAAAACCAGACAUUCCAAUGGCUCACUCUAAUAAAGCUGGUCCAGGCAGCGUGGGUGCUAGUGAGAGAGAGUCUAUUAGUCACAUAUUGGGCACCAGUGACAUUUUAGGCGGAGGCGAUGACUUGGGUCUCGACCUUGGAUUAUCAUCAAGCAAUGUUAACAUGGAGACAGAAAAUGUUAAAGGUUUGUCAGCUUUUGCUCAGCAUGUAUUGCGCCAGAUAUGCAGCCAAGAAUGGGUGCUGGAAAGGUGUCUACAAAAUCCCGAAGAACUGUGUCAUCCCGACAUGCUUUUGGACAACAUGUUAACUCCUCGUCAAGCUCAAAGAUUAUUGCACAUGAUAUGUUAUCCUGACACGCUUAUAGACACAUUUUUAGACCAGAAAACGCACAUCACAAAUAUACUGGAAAACCUCGAACAAUGGAGUCUACGAAUGUCUUGGCUUGACUUGCAGCUUAUGUACAAACAAUAUCCAGCAGGUUCGAGUGAUUUAACGCAAUGGUUAGAUACUGUGGCUAAAGCAGCAAUUGACGUGUUCCAACUGAACACUACCUCCGGUAAACCGGACAAGAAGUCAGGUUCUAUAUGGUUGGUAGCACCUUUGGUAUCGAAGCUGCCUAGUGCUGUACAAGGUCGUGUUUUAAAAGUAGCUGGACAAGUGUUGGAAUCUGGUAAUUGGUCUAAAGCAAGCAGAGAAAAAGGCAGAUCGAAAUCACCGUCUCUGUUCAAUCAUCAGCCAUUUUUAUCUCUAGUAUUAACCUGUUUAAAAGGACAAGAUGAUCAAAGGGAAGGGUUGUUAACAUCUCUGCACUCACAGUUGACACAAUUUUUGAAUAUGAGCAAGGAAGAAAAAAAUAUUGGUUUGGAAGAUCCAAAAACCAGGGAAGUGUUACAGGAUGCUCUUCAACUGAGGUUCAGUUUGGUGGGUGGAGUUUUUGACACAAUUCAAAGAAAUACCACCGUAACAACUGACUGGGCGAUCUUGUUUGUACAAUUGAUUAGUUAUGGUGUCAUAGACUUGAACAAUAAUUCAGAACUAUUUACAACGGUAAUAGAUAUGUUAGCAACUCUGAUACAUUCCACGCUUGUUUCGGAUUCGCAGUCUGAGAAAGAUGAAAACAAAAAGCAUUAUCAGAAUCUGAUGAAAAAACUUAAGAAGGAAUUGGGUGAUAGAAAUUCACAGAGCAUACAAUUUGUAAGACAGUUGUUACCUUUGCCCAAAGUGACAAUGGAAGUUAUCGCAUGCGAACCUGUCGGCUGCUUGACAGAUACAAAGGGCAACAAGAUAGCUGGAUUUGACAGCAUUGAUAAAAAACAGGGUUUACAAGUAUGUGACUCACAAAAAGUAUCUGCUUGGGAGUUAUUAGAAGGGCAUAAAAAUCCAGCACCACUAUCUUGGGCCUGGUUUCGAGCUGUGAAAAUGGAAAGAAAACCACUGACUUAUCAAGGAGCUCAAAAGUUGCUACGUUAUCAUACUCAUAGUGCAAUAAAACCUGCAAGUCAUUAUUUAGACCCACCGCCACUACCUCCCGAAGAUUUAGAACCAGAUAAAAAGGAAUCAGAACCUGGAAAAGCUGAUACACCAAUGAGUGUUGAAUCCCCUGGCAGAACAGGCAAAGGAAAGGCUAUGAAACCUAGAAAACCUAGAAAAAACAAAGGCGCAGCUACUCCAACGGCACCAAUACCUCAGCAACUGCAGCAACAAGGUCCACCGCAAAUGCAACAGAUACCGUAUGGUCAACAACCGCAGGUGGUACAACAACAAGCAAUGUUCCCCGGGCAACCGCAACAACCGCAACAGCAAUGGUACCCAAAUCAACAAGGACCAACACCACAGCAGCAGUAUGGUUACGGACAGCAAAUUCCACCUGCUCAAGUCAGCGGUCAUCGAUACGAACGUCCUGGCAUGAAUAACCAGUCGAAACAGGCACUAUCCAAUAUGCUACGCCUUCGCGUACCAUCCAAUCAGUUUAUGGGAGGACAACAACAGCCUGGUGCACCCCCAGGACCUGGACCAGCUGCAUACCAGGGUAUGCAGAGACCACAGUUCAUUAGACAACAAUUGCGAACACAGCAUGCUGGCCCAGGAUUAAAUCCCCAGCAAACUAUGUUCCCACCACAACAGCAGCAGCAAGGAAUAUAUGCUGGGAUGCAACAAGGAAUGAAUCAAAACUAUGCAGGUUACGGAGGGCAACAAAUGUUGCCACAGCAGCAACAGCAGCAAAUGUUACAGCAGCCGCAGCAGCAGCAGCAGCAACAGCAGCAACAACAGCAACAACAACAACAGCAGCAACAACAAGGCAUGAUGAAUCAGCAGCAGAAUAUGAUGUUCCAGAAUCCACAGCAAAUGAUUGGUGCUCAAAGAGGACAAGAAUAUAUGCCGCAGCAAAGAAUGCAGCCAGGUACUGCCCGGCCGCCUUAUCAUCAGGCACCAAACGUCACAAUGAACACUAUGGGGCCAAUGGGUGGGGGAGUUCAAAAUCAACCAGCUCCCCCAUAUAGACAAGCUAGUGGCAAGCCUGGUUCAGUUGGAGUUGCUGGUGUUGGAGCAGGUGGUGUUGGGUUACAGCAACAAAAUCAACAAUUCCAACAGCACUUUUCGAAUUUGCACUAAGCCAUUGGGGAUAAUAAGACAAUUGAAACCUGGUUAUUGGCGUAUUACCAGAAACUCAAAAAUGAUUUUAUAACAUGAGCCAUUGAUUGAUCCACUGCAUUCAAGAAUAUGUGUCUAAUUUGCACCAGCUAAGUCGGACCUAAUAUAGUCAUAGCUCACCCUAUUGAAAUAAAAAAAUCUGAAUAAGCAAUACUUCAAAUGGGAUCACACAAGGGCAGAUUCAAGGCCAACACGCUGUGGAAGGGAUCGGCAGUUAGAACAAGCCAUAAAUCAGCAACGCAUGCGGCAUAUGCUAGCCAUGCAACAACAACAACAACAGCAAGGUGGAGGUGGUGGACAACAGCCGACACCUCAAUUGGUAGCUCACCUUCAACGACAUUCAAAUCAACCACCCCAAC
rnacentral:misc_RNA from 1 species